CGUCAUCUUGACAGUCAUUCCCUGACUGGCUCAGAAACACAUUGACUCACCAGUGCAUCACGUUCCUGGAGGCUGUGCUAAGUCCAUGUGUACAAAAUGAACUUGUUCAAGCAUCAUUAGCGUCUUACGGUAGCAACAGCGGCACCACCAAACUCCUUCCCUGGGAACCACGCUGUUUCUCAGCGUCAAGCGGCCACAGCUCUGAACUGUGUCUCUGAGCAUCUGUGCUUCAACUCCAUUUAUUUUGUGCAUCCAUUAGCAAGAUAUGUCUUAAGUUUUUUGGCACCAAGGCAUGUCGGGAUCUUAGCUCCCCAACCAGGGGUCAAACCUGCACCCCCAGCAUUGGAAGAGAAUGACACCCGGGACCUCCUGCCCUACCUAGGACAGCCAUCACCUGAUGGAAAGGAAGAAAAACACAGUGUCAAAGCUUUGGCCACUUCUCUGUGCUGCUACCAAGAAAAAGCUUUGUGAUGGGUCCUGAUUUCUUGUGCAGAGCCCGCAGCCCCCGUCUGAUCCAGGCCACAGAAGCAUAGCCCCUGAUCUCAAGGAAGGACCACUUUUCAGAGCCCAGUCCCACCAUCCCCACGGCACACCCCCACUCCCCCCCUCCACCAUGGGGCCAGCGCCAGACUUUACCUUCGAUCACAUCCUUCCCGGUUCCCUCCCUCCUCGACCCUCCUUCCCUCGGUCUCUGACAGCUUUCUCCCGAAGGGCUGACCCUCCACAGAUCACAGGAACCCCAUCCCUGCCUCAAGCUCUGCCUCUAGGGAGCCUGUCCUAAGACAGAUAAUCUGGCUUGAGGAAAAAUGAUUUUAUUUCCUGAACAAGUUCCUGGCCUCCUGUAGUAGAUGAUCAGCAGGGACCCAGGGCUCCCAUGGUGGGGCUUCCAUAGGACUCUCCAGGCUGGCUGGCACUGUAUCCGGAUCUCAUUGUAUCUGAGAACCAGUGUUUAUCUUUGCAUCUGUGCAUCUGAAUGUCUCCAUGCCUGUGGAGGGCUGUGGCUGGCCCCCUAGCUACCUGCUGCUAGUGAAGACAGAUCGUCCUUCUGUCUUGCUCACUUGGAGGCCCUGGCGUUGAAUGCCAAAGGCCGGGCUGCAGGGUUUGGCAGAAACCCCAUCAGGGUAGCAGCCUAAAAUGAGCAACACCCGGGCUUCCCUGGUGGCACAGUGGUUAAGAAUCCGCCUGCCAAUGCAGGGCACACGGGUUCGAGCCCUGGUCCGGGAAGAUCCUACGUGCUGCGGAGCGGCUGAGCCCGUGCGCCACAACUACUGAGCCUGUGCUCUAGAGCCCGUGAGCCACAACUACUGAGCCCACACACCACAACUACUGAAGCACCAGCACCUAGAGCCCAUGCUCUGCAACAAGAGAAGCCACUGCAAUGAGAAGCCCGCGCACCGCCACGAAGAGUAGCCCCCACUCGCCACAAUUACAGAAAGCCCGCGGGCAGCAACGAAGACCCAACGCAGCCAAAAAUAAUAAAUAAAUUUAUAUAAGUAAAUUAAUUAAUUAAAAUAAAAUGAGCAACACCCA